AUACGGAGGAUGCAAGCGUUAUCCGGAUUUAUUGGGUUUAAAGGGUGCGUAGGCGGAUGAUUAAGCGUGAGGUGAAAUGCCACUGCUCAACAGUGGAACUGCCUCGCGAACUGGUUGUCUUGAAUGCUCCUGCCGUGGGAGGAAUGUGUGGUGUAGCGGUGAAAUGCAUAGAGAUCACACAGAACACCGAUUGCGAAGGCAUCUCACGAAGGGGUGAUUGACGCUGAGGCACGAAAGCGUGGGGAUCAAACAGGAUUAGAUACCCUGGUAGUCCACGCAGUAAACGAUGAUGGCUAACCGCUGGUUUAUUCGGAUCAGUGGCCAAGCGAAAGCGAUAAGCCAUCCACCUGGGGAGUACGACCGCAAGGUUGAAACUCAAAUGAAUUGACGGGG
rnacentral:rRNA from 1 species